GACGAACGCUGGCGGCGUGCUUAACACAUGCAAGUCGAACGGAAAGGCCCUGCUUUUGUGGGGUGCUCGAGUGGCGAACGGGUGAGUAACACGUGAGUAACCUGCCCUUGACUUUGGGAUAACUUCAGGAAACUGGGGCUAAUACCGGAUAGGAGCUCCUGCUGCAUGGUGGGGGUUGGAAAGUUUCGGCGGUUGGGGAUGGACUCGCGGCUUAUCAGCUUGUUGGUGGGGUAGUGGCUUACCAAGGCUUUGACGGGUAGCCGGCAUGAGAGGGUGACCGGCCACAUUGGGACUGAGAUACGGCCCAGUCUCCUACGGGAGGCAGCAGUGGGGAAUAUGGCACAAUGGGCGGAAGCCUGAUGCAGCAACGCCGGGUGCGGGAUGACGGCCUUCGGGUUGUAAACCGCUUUCGCCUGUGACGAAGCGUGAGUGACGGUAAUGGGUAAAGAAGCACCGGCUAACUACGUG
rnacentral:rRNA from 1 species